rnacentral:tRNA from 1 species
GCGGGUAUAGCUCAGUUGGGAGAGCGUCAGACUGAAGUCCACUUCAGGUCAAAGAUCAUCUGAAGGUCAUGUGUUCAAUCCACAUUAGCCGCA